rnacentral:rRNA from 1 species
UACGUAGGGGGCAAGCGUUGUCCGGAAUCAUUGGGCGUAAAGCGCGUGUAGGCGGCUUGGUAAGUCCGCUCUGAAAGCCCGGGGCUCAACCCCGGGAGGCGGGUGGAUACUGUCAAGCUCGAGUCCGGAAGAGGAGAGUGGAAUUCCUGGUGUAGCGGUGAAAUGCGCAGAUAUCAGGAAGAACACCCGUGGCGAAGGCGGCUCUCUGGUACGUGACUGACGCUGAGACGCGAAAGCGUGGGGAGCGAACAGG